UUAAAGCUAAAAGCUGAAGUCUGUUCCAGAAACACUUGACCAUUCCUCUGUCAUCAGACUGGAUCACUGUAACACUCAGCAGAACCUGCCACCAACCAACCAUCAAGAGGAAGAACUGGUCGUUGUACCAUGAUAAAUUAGACUGAAGCUCCACAGUUUACAAACCUCUCCUCAUCCCACAUCAUCAGCUGCUGUAAAUCACAGAAGAGACGAGGCAGAAGUGACACAACACAAAGAAACAUGAAGGAACUCAAACUGACUCAGGAUCAGUCAGAGGUCAGUCCAUAAAGACACCAACAAAUCCUGAGGAGUGUAUUUUUUCAUUUGAAGAAACUUAAUACAUCAUUGAACGUAAAGUGUAUGAAUAUAAAUGUAAUGUUACAGUGUCAAACUGGAGGACAUGUUCCCAUCUGUGUGUGUUCACAACUUGAUAAAGUCAAACACUGGAACACUACAAGAGUUUAUUAUCAUUAAUAUGAACCUGGGCUCUCAGAUAUGUGUGCGUGCGUGCGUGUGCAUUCGUGUGUGUUUAUAAACCAACUUCCUUCUCCUUUUAUUUAAUGACUUUUAUCAAAAUCUGCAAAAUUCCUUCCAGGUUUUGAUCUUCACAGUCUUCAAGAUUAUGUAGAAGUUCCUGACUCGUCCAUCACAGUGGACAACGUGUCUCAUCAUGUCUCAUCUUGUGUUACAGAGUUGUGUGUUGCUGCAGUUCAAAGUGCAGAUUAAAAGUGUUAAAGUAGGAGAAGAGAAGGAUAUAAAGAGCAUGAGAAGAAGAAUCUGAGAGUGGAGCCAUAUUUUCACGCUCUUUAUAUUCUUUAGAACAGACACACCAACAAAAGACAAAUGAAAACAACCACUUUUUACGCUCUGUGUGUGGCUUACAGUCAAACCGAUGUCUGUUUAUGGCUUAGGGUGUGUGGUGAAAAAGCCAUUGGCUGUACGCCAGUGCUCUUUACGAGAAUAAGUUAUUUCUUUAGAUGGAUUUCCUGAAUUCCAUCACCACAUGACUUUCUGGAUCAAGUCAAGAAACAGUCUCCAGCUCUAGACCAGAUUAGAUAAACCAAGAAUUCAUCAACAGCAUUUUUUAAGCGGUGGAUCGUAACAGGAAGUGAUUAUUAGAAGAAAUGCUGUUUCAUCUUUGAAAUGAUUCAUAAAACAUCAUGUAUCUAAACAGGUGUCGGGAUAUUAGAUCAAGGUCGAGCUCAAACAAGAUAAUCAUUGAUAUGAGCAACAACACGUCACAGUGUGAUCUGGAGGAUUGUUAAAUGAAAGCUCAUCUUCAGAGUCAACACCUGUAACAAAGUACAAACAGGAAAACACCUGACAACAUCUAACACACCUGUUUAUUGUCUCACAGGUUCUGUAGCAGGUGUUGAUAUGAUGCAACAACAGUCCACAUGAGACGAAGCUGCAGGACGGACAAAUAAUAAUAAUAUCCAACAAUAACUUAUAUCACAAUUCACAUUUGUGACACUAGUCACAGUCACAGUCUUUCUCACUUUUUAAGACUCAGGUGACCAACUGUGAUGACAGCUAGUCUUGUGAGAGGUGAAAGGUCAGAGGUCAGACUGGGUGUGCAGAGAAAAGCAGCCUCAUGGACCAACAGGGUGACAGGAAGCAGAGACAGAGAGAAGUCUGCUCUCUGAGGAACGUCACUCUUACACCUCUGAAUAAAGGUUUACUGUCUCAUCAGGAGAUUUAGUGAAACAAGGACUUGAGGAACAGCAGAGUUUGACCAGUAGAGCUGCUGCUGCUGUCAGUCCCAGUCCAGCGUAGAGGCCGAUCCUUUUAUAAAUCUCUGGUUCUGGUCUCUCAGUUGGUCUCUGAGUUUCAGGCUGAUCAAC